CCUGGCUCAGGACGAACGCUGGCGGCGUGCCUAAUACAUGCAAGUCGAACGAACCGCGACCGAGUGCUUGCACUUGGUCAAGGUGAGUGGCGAACGGGUGAGUAACACGUGGGUAACCUACCUCAUAGUGGGGGAUAACAGUCGGAAACGACUGCUAAUACCGCAUAGGACAUGGAAUCACAUGAUUCUGUGAGGAAAGGUGGCGCAAGCUAUCGCUAAGAGAUGGACCCGCGGUGCAUUAGCUAGUUGGUAGGGUAACGGCCUACCAAGGCGAUGAUGCAUAGCCGACCUGAGAGGGUGAUCGGCCACACUGGGACUGAGACACGGCCCAGACUCCUACGG
rnacentral:rRNA from 1 species